GUGGGGAAUAUUGGGCAAUGGGGGCAACCCUGACCCAGCGACGCCGCGUGAGGGAAGAAGGCCUUAGGGUCGUAAACCUCUGUUGUGUGGGAAGAAGGAAGUGACGGUACCACACGAGGAAGUCCCGGCUAACUACGUGCCAGCAGCCGCGGUAAUACGUAGGGGACGAGCGGUGUCCGGAAUUACUGGGCGUAAAGGGCGCGUAGGCGGUCAUUUAAGUCAGCUGUGAAAUGGUCCGGCUCAACCGGAUCAUGCGGUUGAAACUGGAUGACUGGAGUGCUGGAGAGGCAAGUGGAAUUCCCAGUGUAGCGGUGAAAUGCGUAGAUAUUGGGAAGAACACCGGUGGCGAAGGCGACUUGCUGGCCAGCAACUGACGCUGAGGCGCGAAAGCCAGGGGAGCAAACGGGAUUAGAAACCCCAGUAGUCC
rnacentral:rRNA from 1 species